rnacentral:rRNA from 1 species
AGCUCCAAUAGCGUAUAUUAAAGUUGUUGCAGUUAAAAGCUCGUAGUUGGAUUUCUGGUGGAGGUGAUCGGUCGGCCUCGCAAGGGGUCUGCACCUGUAUCGUCCUUUGCCAUCCUUCAGGAAGGCGCUUCUUGUAUUAACUUACGGGUUGCGAACUCCUGAUCUUUUACUGUGAAAAAUUAGAGUGUUCAAAGCAGGCUUAGGCCGUUGAAUACAUUAGCAUGGAAUAAUGAGAUAGGGCCUUGGUGGUUUUCUAUUUUGUUGGUUUGCACGCCAAGGUAAUGAUUAAUAGGGAUAGUUGGGGGUAUUCGUAUUCAAUUGUCAGAGGUGAAAUUCUUGGAUUUAUGGAAGACGAACUACUGCGAAAGCAUUUACCAAGGAUGUUUUCA